rnacentral:rRNA from 1 species
AUUGAACGCUGGCGGCAGGCCUAACACAUGCAAGUCGGGCGGAUGAAGGGAGCUUGCUCCUGGAUUCAGCGGCGGACGGGUGAGUAAUGCCUAGGAAUCUGCCUGGUAGUGGGGAUAACGUCCGGAAACGGGCGCUAAUACCGCAUACGUCCUGAGGGAGAAAGUGGGGGAUCUUCGGACCUCACGCUAUCAGAUGAGCCUAGGUCGGAUUAGCUAGUUGGUGGGGUAAAGGCCUACCAAGGCGACGAUCCGUAACUGGUCUGUGAGGAUGAUCAGUCACACUGGAACUGAGACACGGUCCAGACUCCUACGGGAGGCAGCAGUGGGGAAUAUUUGACAAUGGGCGAAAGCCUGAUCCAGCCAUGCCGCGUGUGUGAAGAAGGUCUUCGGAUUGUAAAGCACUUUAAGUUGGGAGGAAGGGCAGUAAGUUAAUACCUUGCUGUUUUGACGUUACCAACAGAAUAAGCACCGGCUAACUUCGUG